AUCUUUAUAGUUUAUAAUAAAAAUAUUACACUGAAAAUGUAAAGAAAUUUUUUUAAAGAUA
rnacentral:tRNA from 1 species